UGUAAAUUAAGCAUCAUAAGACAUCACAAUAGAAGCCCCCUAUUUGCAUAUGAAGUCACCACACCAGGGCAUAAACCCUAGAGUCAUCCUGACUCCAGGGACAUACAAUGGAUUUGAGGAGAUGUAAGGAGAAGGUAAAAGGACACUUUAUCCUGCACCUGGGGAUGUAAUCAGGCAGUGUGAUUACAUUCAUGAAAAUGGGAUCCCAACCAACCUUGGUUGGAAAUACUGCAGGAAGGCUUUGGAUUCUUUCCAGAAAUAGACAAUCACUGAAUAAGGAAGGGAAGAUUCAAAGCACAUUCCCCAUUGACUGAAUCCAACCAAGAAGCCAUAUACAAGACUUGCUUUUGGCAAGUUGAAGCUUUUAGAAAUUUAAAGGAACCAUUUUUAACUUAGUGCAAAUGUUAAUACUUCAAUAAUGCCUUAAUAUCAAAGUGAAAUAAUAAUAUUGCAUGCAACAUCAACCAAGGUUCUUAACAGCAGAGCGCCUGAUAAUGGAAACCAUUAAUCUGUUGUUCUGGAUGCAACAUCGUUAUUCUUAAAUACCUUACAAAUUAGUGGGUUCAGUAAUUUAGAAAAUGUAUCUUUUGAAGUGUGAAAUACUCUAUACUAAAACAGUUUGCUCAUUUAAAAUGUUGUAGUUUUUUUAAUCUUAUUAGAUGAGUCAAUGUUUUUAGUAAAAGUCAAUGUUAAUCAAAUAUGGAGUAUUAUAACCAGAAAAUCUUCACAGCUCCCAUUUUAUGUUAGAUAAAACCAAAGGUUUAUGAUUUUAAACCCCUGCAGCAACUGUAAUGAGAUAGAGUAUAUAAUAGUCAAACUGGCUUAAGGUAAUUGCUUUGGGAUAUACAAACACUGAAACCCAUUUCAUGUGGCUUGCGACUGUCAUGUAAAGCUGUAGCAUCACAUUCUCCCCCCAAGAGUAAAGAAGUGCAAAAAUAAAUAAGAUCUGCAAAAAA